rnacentral:rRNA from 1 species
UACGUAGGGGGCAAGCGUUGUCCGGAAUCAUUGGGCGUAAAGAGCGUGUAGGCGGCUCGGUAAGUCCGCUGUGAAAGUCCAGGGCUCAACCCUGGAAUGCCGGUGGAAACUGUCGAGCUCGAGUCCGGAAGAGGCGAGUGGAAUUCCUGGUGUAGCGGUGAAAUGCGCAGAUAUCAGGAGGAACACCAAUUGCGAAGGCAGCUCGCUGGGACGUGACUGACGCUGAGACGCGAAAGCGUGGGGAGCAAACAGG